GGAGACGAACGUGGAGGUACUGAUACUGCCGACCGUUCGUUUCCUGUACGGGGAGGUGAGAAAACUGAGUUGAGCGGGGAGGUAGUCAUACUGCCGGCUGUUCGGCUGCCGAACGGGGAGGCAGGAAAACUGCUGAACGUUCGGUAUUUGUGUCCUCUUUUGCAGGGAAGGAAGGAGAAGUGGCUGCUGGUGACAGGAGUCCCGGAAAGAGGCCAUUACAGGCACGGGCCAGCGGAAG